rnacentral:tRNA from 1 species
GGGUCGUUAGCUCAGUUGGUAGAGCAGUUGACUUUUAAUCAAUUGGUCGCAGAUUCGAAUCCUGCACGACCCACCA